rnacentral:rRNA from 1 species
AUGUUGGGCAUAAAAAAUCUCGUCCGGUCCUCCACACCGGCUGCCACCGCCGGUAGAAAGGUCGACAGGGUGGCCACUGACUCUUCGGCAACGGUCGGCCGCCUCCCGUUGCUCCUGCUGGCUCCAAAUGAGCUCGAAAGCCAAAGGCGGCCGCGUCGGCCCUCAUGGAGGCGCGACAAUGAUGAAGAAGAAAAAAGGUACUGCUACUCCUCGACCUUGUCCGACGGAUCAUGCACCGUCUCCGGCCACCCCUACGAACACUGCUUCGGCGCGUCCGGCCGCUGCAGCCAGCAACAAGGUGCGGAGAUGAGCAUGACCAAAUUCUUGACGUCUUUCGAGUCGUCUCAUACACUUGGCCUUGAGGAUCUCGAUUAUGAUCCGGUGUUCGAUCAUCAAGUCAAGACCCAAGAGGAGGUGGCUGAAGAGGAGUUGUCCGGUACUACAACAACUCCGUGGAUGUCAUAUCAAGCCACACCCAAGGCUCUCUUGGGCAUCGUUGGAGCAUCAUCCAAGAUCAAUGCAAUCGAUGGUCUGGUUGGUCCAGUUGCAUUGAUCAACUGCAUCAUGCGCCACCAAGCAAUGUGCCGGUCACGGAGUUUGGCUCUAUCAUUUAAGAGAAACAAGAAGUUCGGCCACAACCCUGGCCAUCUCCAACCCAGCCCUAUCGGCCCACCCAGGCCCGACCCUAAAAUCCAGGGGCCUAGGUCCGAUGGGCUUGCCCGUGGGCCAGGCUUGGGCUUGAGUUUUGAGCCCACCAGCGGGGCCUGGACGGGCUUGGGCUCGGCAUAUUGGCAUUUUAAGGAAGAGGCCCGACCCAUGGCCCUAAGCCCUAAGGGCUUUUCAGGGCUUUUUACCAGAUGGGCCGGGUUUGGGCUUGAAAAUCCGCGGUCCCUGAUUCAUCUUAUCCAAAACUCCUCCCUUUCCAGCGACGGCAGCGAUGGCGGAGCACGAGCAGGUGAGGGCGGCGCCUUCGUCGGACGGCUAGCCGCGGCGGAGGAGAAGGCGGACGCCAUGGGUGCGGCUACAGACGAGGCGGAGGAGAAGGCGGACGCCAUGGGCUUGCUGCACGGCUACAGCCGAGGCGGAGGAGAAGGCGGACGCCGUGGGCGUUCAUGGAGGAUGGUACGCCGGCGGCGUCAAGUCCCCUGCCCCCGGCCGCCAGCGCCUGUUCUCGGCCUCCAUCACCCGGAGGCGUGCCCUUGCUGUCGGCCUUCGCGUCUGCUUCGUCUGCAUCACGCCAGCGCCGCCCUCGUCGUCGCGGCGUUCUUCUGCUUCCGGCGUCGCCCCGUCGCCCAUGCGCCGAGUUCUGCUGCGGCCUCUGUUCUUCCGCAACGAGUAGCAGCAGGUCGUCUGCGGUUGCGGCAGCGGUGUAGGCGAGCGAGGCAGAGGAGCGGUCAACACCGGCGUCGAGGGCAAGGUAGGCCGGGCGCAGUGUCCUCCGGCGUGUGGUGGCGCAUUUGUACAGCGCAGGAGGCUGGGCGCUUCGAUUCGGGUGAGGGGAGUGGGGUCCAGAUCUGGUCGAGGACGGGGCAACCAGCGGCGGCGGCGUGGCUGACGCUGGACGGAGAGAGAGGCAGAGCAAGGCACGCCGAAUCGCUGGAUGGCGCACCUCCCCUAGCCUCCUUCCUCUCCUGGUCGUUGGGGAAGCAGGACGGCCACCUCUGCUGGACGCCCUUCCCUGGUCGACGACGAGCGAUGCGGGCUGACACGGUGGCGCCCUUCCGUUGUGGAGUACCUCAUUUCAUCCAAUCUGGCUGGUCCGCUCCCCACCUCGGCGGCUCCUUCAGUCCGGCAGCACACCACGCUCAAGCCUCCACCACCCCAACUCCUCAAGGCUUUUCUUUGGUGUAUCAGGCAUUCAGGCUGAACGAGGACGGAUCCAAGGUUGAGUACUGGGUGUGGAACCCCUUCAGAUCCAAGUUGGCUGCUGUUGUACUCUGUGGUGUGGACAACAUCUGGAUUGUCCGAGGAAUUACAGCUUGGGGACUUGGGAGGCGAUCGUAA